rnacentral:rRNA from 1 species
ACUCCUACGGGAGGCAGCAGUGGGNAAUUUUGCGCAAUGGGGGAAACCCUGACGCAGCAACGCCGCGUGAGUGAUGAAGGCCUUCGGGUCGUAAAGCUCUGUCAGAGGGAAAGAAAUGUGGGGCGCUAAUACCGCUACCACUUGACGGUACCCUCAAAGGAAGCACCGGCUAACUCCGUGCCAGCAGCCGCGGUAAU